GGCAGCCGUUCCCCAAGCUCCUGGAGCGCCCCUUUUCCCCAAUAGCCAAGCCGUCCGCCAUCGAUCAACGUGGUCAAAUCCUCCCAGUAGCCCUCCCCCUCGUUUCUUCUACGUGUGCGGAGACCCCCUGGACCCCGCAGAGCUACCAUCGCCCUCCAUUCCUCCAAGGAGGCCCUGCCAGCGCCGCUCGCCAGGAGACCUCCGUCCACCUCGGCCCCCUUAGUGGCUACGACACUGUAGGUCGCCGGAGUCGCUCCCUUGGCUACCAUCAGUCGUGGAGAGGAGCUGCGGUGCCGCCACGCACGUUGGCGGCCCUUUGGAGUAGUAAGGUGACAGGUGCGCCGGUGCCCGAGCCCCUUUGACCCCAGCGAGCGGAAGAAGACAAUCGAAGGAGAGAGAAGUGAGAAGGCCCGCGCGCCAGCCGCAGGUCCGCUUACCGGACUGGCCCGUUGCCGUAAGUGAAGGCAUUUUUGCACGAGCGCGUAUUUCCGUGGUCAAGGCUUUUUCUUGCUUCAGCCUCGAACGCGAGUGUGUUUUCUCUAACUUAAAGUGUAUUUCAAGAAAGGCGUUUUCAACCCAGGUCCGUUGGCCGAAGUGGUUAAAUAGUGGGUGUUCACCCGUUAGCAACAAAAAAACACAAUUUUUUAUUUGUUUUUCUCCUAACAAACAAACCACCAUAUCUUUUUAAUAGUAACUCCGAUUGAGGUAAUUCCAAAGCCCACAUUUUCGUCUCAUCAAGUUCGUUCCUUUGGUACUAUUUUCACUAUAUUGUCACAUACUAAAAAUGACAAUUUUUCCCUUGCCCUUGUUAAGCCCCCUUUGCGAGAGAUAAUUUUCUUGCGAAUCGUUCCGCGAGUUCCUUGCACUUCCUUCCGGUGAAUCCUUUAUCCCCGGGCAAGCCACGGCAUCCACUUGUAUUGUGAUCUUGUAGUAACCAUUGUUUUCUACUUCAAUAUUUAACAACUGUUUGCUCUACUAGU
rnacentral:sRNA from 1 species